rnacentral:rRNA from 1 species
UACGUAGGGGGCAAGCGUUGUCCGGAUUUAUUGGGCGUAAAGAGCGUGUAGGCGGCCAGACAGGUCCGUUGUGAAAACUCGAGGCUCAACCUCGAGAUGUCGAUGGAAACCGUCUGGCUAGAGUCCGGAAGAGGAGUGUGGAAUUCCUGGUGUAGCGGUGAAAUGCGCAGAUAUCAGGAAGAACACCGAUGGCGAAGGCAGGUCUCUGGGCAUUAACUGACGCUGAGGAGCGAAGCAUGGGAGCGAACAGG